ensembl:snRNA U6 U6 spliceosomal RNA
GUGCUCACACUGGCAGCACAUACACUGCAAUCAGAAUGAUACAGAAAAGUUGUCAAGGCACCUGUGCAAAGAUGGCAAGCAAAUUCAUGAAGUGUUGCAUUUUUAA